ensembl:snoRNA SNORD30 Small nucleolar RNA SNORD30
GUGUGUGAUGACGUAUACGGAGUUACAUUUCGCUGAUGAGUUGCUGUUGAGACUUGGAAAUCUGAUUUGU